rnacentral:rRNA from 1 species
GAUGAACGCUGGCGGCGUGCCUAAUACAUGCAAGUCGAGCGAACAGACGAGGAGCUUGCUCCUUUGACGUUAGCGGCGGACGGGUGAGUAACACGUGGGUAACCUACCUAUAAGACUGGGAUAACUUCGGGAAACCGGAGCUAAUACCGGAUAAUAUUUCGAACCGCAUGGUUCGAUAGUGAAAGAUGGCUCUGCUAUCACUUAUAGAUGGACCUGCGCCGUAUUAGCUAGUUGGUAAGGUAACGGCUUACCAAGGCAACGAUACGUAGCCGACCUGAGAGGGUGAUCGGCCACACUGGAACUGAGACACGGUCCAGACUCCUACGGGAGGCAGCAGUAGGGAAUCUUCCGCAAUGGACGAAAGCCUGACGGAGCAACGCCGCGUGAGUGAUGAAGGUCUUCGGAUCGUAAAACUCUGUUAUUAGGGAAGAACAAACGUGUAAGUAACUGUGCACGUCUUGACGGUACCUAAUCAGAAAGCCACGGCUAACUACGUG